ensembl:snRNA U6 U6 spliceosomal RNA
GUGCUUGUAUUCUAUAGCACAUUGAAAUCAAAACAAUACAGAGAAGAUUAGCAUGACUCCUGCACAAAAUAUCAUAGGUAGAUGGGACAAACAACGGAUAUUU